AAAAAAACCCGACACUGUUUUUAAAGGACUAGUUAAUCGCAAACGACGGAGGAAGGACACUAUUUUUACAUUUGAAGAGGAGAUGUAACUCUCGUUGCAGCCCUGUUGCAUCAGAUCUGCUGGAGUCUUGCCCGUGUUGAAACUUUGUUGCCGCACACAUAUGUCCAAAGCCGGUAACAGCACAGCGCAGUACAGCAUAACACAGCACAGCAGCACUGCAGGGUUUUCUAACCUGUGGGACUCUAACCGUGAGCUGUGAAGGUCCUCUAACAGGGAAAGGUCAUGGGAAACAAGGGUCUGUCACUCACAGCUACAGAAGUGCUGUGCGUGAUGCUAACGAUGUUGUGCUCUGAAAAGCAGAAGAAGAAAAGACUGUGCUCUCCUUCCUAAAUAGCCAAAGAGGACAUCAUGGGCUGUUGGUUCUUCUCGGCGAAAUUAAGGUAUGACAUAAAUGUAGUUAAAUAGCCACCAGUUUCAGUGUAUGUAAAACACUCUCUACAUUCCUGGGCCAAACACAAUGGUGA